AGAGCUAAAGAGACACGGAACAAAAGGCCUACAGCACGACUCUGUAAAGAUGAAGAGCAGAAGACAUUGAUAAAAACAGCAAUGGGAGGAGGACUGUCUGUAACCAAGUCUGUACCAUCUGCAGCCAAUGAGACAGUGAUACCUGAACUCACACUUGUGUUAAUUGGUGACGCAAAUUCUGUUGAGAUUGGAUCAAAAAACAUCUUAAUUGACCAUGACAAG